UACGGAGGGUGCGAGCGUUAAUCGGAAUUACUGGGCGUAAAGGGCGCGUAGGCGGUUUGGUUAGUCAGAUGUGAAAGCCCAGGGCUUAACCUUGGAAUUGCAUUUGAUACUGCCAGGCUCGAGUGUGGUAGAGGGAAGCGGAAUUCCGGGUGUAGCGGUGAAAUGCGUAGAUAUCCGGAGGAACACCAGUGGCGAAGGCG
rnacentral:rRNA from 2 species